UAUAUUUACAUACAUAACCUCAAAUAGAACAGAAAGCCGAGAAUCAGAGCGUGCAAAAGGUGGUGUAAAUCUUCAAGUGCCGGCAAAAACAAAAAAAUGCUAGGCAAAGGGCAAUGCACAUAUGGUACAAGAGACUAGGAGCUAAAGGCUUAACAAACACUGCCCCGUAUAACAUAACCAUAGCCCAGUCAAUCCUGCCACUCCUACCUGCAAGUUAACUAGUCACAAGAAAAUGAGUAGGAAAGGCAACCAGAAGCACUUCCCCUUCUCCUACCCAGCGUCCUCUCCUCAGGAGAUCUACUGGUUUGUUAGGUAGUUAACUAAGACGAAUACCAUGCGUAAUCUGUUGUCCUUCUAUGAAAAAACUCAGAUCAACAUGGUUAUUUCUUCUCAGUAGGCAAUCUUUGGGAGUUGGAGUUCAAGAUCAUUUAUUUUACAGUAGGUUUACUCUUCGAGAGCACAACUUUAGCAACUUGCAUAAUGCUAUUCUUUUUUUUUUAUGUAUUUUCUCUAGAAGUUUAGAAUUACGGGGAAGGAUCUCGUAGAUGGUGAAGAGAAAACUGAAUAUGUUGCAGCAUUGCUAUAUAUUUUCAUCUAGUUUAUGAACUAUAUAUGAUUUUUGUGUAACUGGAAGUUCCUUGAUUUACUCCAGAAACUCACAAAUCAUAUUAAGAAUUUCUACGUUUUUACUUCAGCAUAAACCCCUUUGGAGUUUUUGUUAGAGAUUUUUUUAAAAAAAAUUAGAAGACUUGCAUGUCAUUUCAGAGACAGGAAUCAAUCAAAUUCCUUUCGAUCGAGGAACUCAUCAAUCAACACAGUUUCUUUGAUUCUUGUAGCAGCAUUUCGUUUUAGAACAAAACUAGCAACGCAAAAGAAAUUGAAGGAUUUGAAUAGGCUCAUAAAUUCACAUCUCUUCUUUUUUAGCAUCUCUGAUACGAUACUGCUAUACAGUCUACACGCAUGCACUCUUUCUCUGGCCAGGCAACACAAGACUGGGGAAUGUACCAGGCACUCGAUCUGGUAGCAUAAAAGUUGGACCAUGAUGUGACUUAUGAGGCUUGCAUCUAUCCUUGCUCCAUACUAAUUCGUGCAUGUGAGCAAAUGUAUGUCCAAUCCAAGCUCACAUCACCAGCUAGUGCAGCACGGGUCCGUGCAUGUGGUUUGUUGCCAACAAUUAAUCUAGAGAUGUAUACCAAUUUUAAUCUCCCCUUAUUGCUACCAUGAUGGCUAAAGGGUCUUGCAUUAAUACUCAGUUAUCAUUCGGUGCAAAUUGAAGGGAUGGUAAUACUCUCGAAAAGAAAAGAGAUGGGAAACUAGCACUGUAAUAUUUCAUCAUAUAUAUAGCUCGCACACAUGCAUAGCACAAAGUGAAGGUGUACUAGCAAUGAACUGUUGAAAACCGAA